rnacentral:rRNA from 1 species
GAGCGAACGGACGAGAAGCUUGCUUCUCUGAUGUUAGCGGCGGACGGGUGAGUAACACGUGGAUAACCUACCUAUAAGACUGGGAUAACUUCGGGAAACCGGAGCUAAUACCGGAUAAUAUUUUGAACCGCAUGGUUCAAAAGUGAAAGACGGUCUUGCUGUCACUUAUAGAUGGAUCCGCGCUGCAUUAGCUAGUUGGUAAGGUAACGGCUUACCAAGGCAACGAUGCAUAGCCGACCUGAGAGGGUGAUCGGCCACACUGGAACUGAGACACGGUCCAGACUCCUACGGGAGGCAGCAGUAGGGAAUCUUCCGCAAUGGGCGAAAGCCUGACGGAGCAACGCCGCGUGAGUGAUGAAGGUCUUCGGAUCGUAAAACUCUG